GGCUCCAUGGUGUAGGGGUGAUCACGUCUGCUGUACACGCAGAAAGUCCUGGGUUCAAGCCCUGGUGGAGCCA